rnacentral:tRNA from 1 species
GCGGGGAUGGUCGAGUGGUCAAAGGCGAUAGGUUGAGGGCCUAUUGAGUUAGUCUCUUCGCGGGUUCGAAUCCCGUUCCCCGCACCA